ensembl:misc_RNA Vault Vault RNA
GGGCUGGCUUUAGCCCAGCGGUUCCUUCAAGUCUGGCUUCCCAACCGCCCGGGCUGAUUGGUCCGAUUGGUCCUGUGGUUCGAGACCCGCGGGCACUCUCCGGUCCUUUA